AUGCCUACGGGAGGCAGCAGUGGGGAAUAUUGGGCAAUGGGCGAAAGCCUGACCCAGCGACGCCGUGUGGGUGAUGAAGGCCUUCGGGUUGUAAAGCCCUGUCGGGUGGAAAGAAGGGCUCAGAGACGAAUAAUCUUUGAGCCUUGACGGUACCACCGGAGGAAGCACCGGCUAACUCCGUGCCAGCAGCCGCGGUAAUACGGAGGGUGCAAGCGUUGUUCGGAAUUACUGGGCGUAAAGGGCGCGUAGGUGGUUGUGUAAGUCAGAUGUGAAAGCCCGAGGCUUAACUUCGGAACUGCAUCUGAUACUGCAUGACUUGAGUGCAGCAGAGGGAAACGGAAUUCCUGGUGUAGAGGUGAAAUUCGUAGAUAUCAGGAGGAACACCGGUGGCGAAGGCGGUUUCCUGGGCUGACACUGACACUGAGGCGCGAAAGCGUGGGUAGCAAACAGGAUUAGAUACCCGAGUAGUCAAC
rnacentral:rRNA from 1 species